GGUCCUAUGGUGUAAUGGUUAGCACUCUGGACUCUGAAUCCAGCGAUCCGAUUUCAAAUCUCGGUAGGACCU
rnacentral:tRNA from 1 species